CAGCCGCCACGGUAAUACAGAGGGUGCGAGCGUUAAUCGGAUUUACUGGGCGUAAAGCGUGCGUAGGCGGCUUCUUAAGUCGGAUGUGAAAUCCCUGAGCUUAACUUAGGAAUUGCAUUCGAUACUGGGAAGCUAGAGUAUGGGAGAGGAUGGUAGAAUUCCAGGUGUAGCGGUGAAAUGCGUAGAGAUCUGGAGGAAUACCGAUGGCGAAGGCAGCCAUCUGGCCUAAUACUGACGCUGAGGUACGAAAGCAUGGGGAGCAAACAGGAUUAGAGACCCCUGUAGUCCCUGUCUCUUAUAA
rnacentral:rRNA from 1 species